rnacentral:rRNA from 1 species
CCUACGGGAGGCUGCAGUGGGGAAUAUUGGACAAUGGGCGAAAGCCUGAUCCAGCCAUGCCGCGUGUGUGAAGAAGGCCUUCGGGUUGUAAAGCACUUUCAGUGGGGAAGAAAGCCUUGGGGCUAAUACCCUCGAGGAAGGACAUUACCCACAGAAGUAGCACCGGCUAACUCCGUGCCAGCAGCCGCGGUAAUACGGAGGGUGCGAGCGUUAAUCGGAAUUACUGGGCGUAAAGCGCGCGUAGGCGGUCUGAUAAGCCGGUUGUGAAAGCCCCGGGCUCAACCUGGGAACGGCAUCCGGAACUGUCAGGCUAGAGUGCAGGAGAGGAAGGUAGAAUUCCCGGUGUAGCGGUGAAAUGCGUAGAGAUCGGGAGGAAUACCAGUGGCGACGGCGGCCUUCUGGACUGACACUGACGCUGAGGUGCGAAAGCGUGGGUAGCAAACAGGAUUAGAUACCCUAGUAGUC